rnacentral:sRNA from 1 species
UAGCACUUUAAACGACAAGACCAGAC